rnacentral:rRNA from 1 species
UACGUAGGUGGCAAGCGUUGUCCGGAUUUACUGGGCGUAAAGAGCGCGCAGGCGGUCGAUCAAGUCGCGUGUGAAAGCCCCCCGGCUCAACUGGGGAGGGUCACGCGAUACUGAUCGACUCGAAGGCAGGAGAGGGUAGUGGAAUUCCCGGUGUAGUGGUGAAAUGCGUAGAUAUCGGGAGGAACACCAGUGGCGAAGGCGACUACCUGGCCUGUUCUUGACGCUGAGGCGCGAAAGCUAGGGGAGCAACGGGG